rnacentral:piRNA from 1 species
UGAAGGAGAAGAUUGACAUCUGCACGC